CCCGCUGAACUUAAGCAUAUUAUUAAGCGGAGGAAAAGAAACUAACAAGGAUGCCCUCAGUAACGGCGAGUGAAGCGGGCAAAGCUCAACCCGAAAAUCGGAUUAUCAAACGAUAACUCUGAGUUGUGGGCUAGAGACACGUGAUCAGUGUGUAAUCCGAGUAUAAAUCUUUUGAAACAAAGUAUCAUAGAGGGUGAGAAUCCCGUCUGUGACUCGGUUGAUUGCCACGAACGAUCCGUGUUCAUAGAGUCGAGUUGUUUGGGAUUGCAACUCUAAACGGGAGGUAAAUUUCUCCUAAAGCUAAAUACCGAUGAGAGACCGAUAGCGAACAAGUACCGUGAGGGAAAGAUGAAAAGAACUUUGAAAAGAGAGUUAAAAAGUACCUGAAAUUGCUAAGAGGGAAGCAAUGGAAACCAGUAAUUGAGACACGCGUGGAUAUUUACUAGUAAACUUGUAGAUGAUAUCUUUUCGUGAAGUUCCAAAAGUCUUCUGAUUUGGUAUGUAAUCUACGAGAUGCUAGGUCCUGUCCUGUGUUGUCUAAUCAGAAUCAAUUUGAUUCGUGAGAGAAAGCUAUGGAGACGUUAUAGUUAGUUAGGCAACUAAUUGAUUAUAAGUUUUGUAGUGCUAUCAUGGGUUAGAUUGAGGUUCACUUGAAUUGUCCGCUUUUUCUUCGGAUGAAGUUAUUCGCUUCCCGACUCUGGAUUAUUGAGGUUUGGUAUGGACAAGAAAUCUUGUGUGUAUUUCUUUGGUAGUUCAACUAGAAGGGGUAAGUGAGAUGGUACAAUCGAGAUUCUGAUGAAAUGGUUUUCAUUGACCCGUCUUGAAACACGG
rnacentral:rRNA from 1 species